rnacentral:rRNA from 1 species
GAGUUUGAUCCUGGCUCAGGAUGAACGCUGGCGGCGUGCUUAACACAUGCAAGUCGAACGAACCUUCGGGUUAGUGGCGGACGGGUGAGUAACGCGUGGGAAUCUGCCCUCAGGAGGGGGAUAACGGCUGGAAACGGCCGCUAAUACCCCAUAUGCCGAGAGGUGAAAUGAAUUUCGCCUGAGGAUGAGCCCGCGUCUGAUUAGCUAGUUGGUGAGGUAAGAGCUCACCAAGGCAUCGAUCAGUAGCUGGUCUGAGAGGAUGAUCAGCCACACUGGGACUGAGACACGGCCCAGACUCCUACGGGAGGCAGCAGUGGGGAAUUUUCCGCAAUGGGCGAAAGCCUGACGGAGCAACGCCGCGUGAGGGAUGAAGGCCUCUGGGCUGUAAACCUCUUUUCUCAAGGAAGAAGAUCUGACGGUACUUGAGGAAUAAGCCACGGCUAAUUCCGUGCCAGCAGCCGCGGUAAUACGGGAGUGGCAAGCGUUAUCCGGAAUUAUUGGGCGUAAAGCGUCCGCAGGCGGCCCUUCAAGUCUGCUGUUAAAAAGUGGAGCUUAACUCCAUCAUGGCAGUGGAAACUGUUGGGCUUGAGUGUGGUAGGGGCAGAGGGAAUUCCCGGUGUAGCGGUGAAAUGCGUAGAUAUCGGGAAGAACACCAGUGGCGAAGGCGCUCUGCUGGGCCAUAACUGACGCUCAUGGACGAAAGCCAGGGGAGCGAAAGGGAUUAGAUACCCCUGUAGUCCUGGCCGUAAACGAUGAACACUAGGUGUCGGGGGAAUCGACCCCCUCGGUGUCGUAGCCAACGCGUUAAGUGUUCCGCCUGGGGAGUACGCACGCAAGUGUGAAACUCAAAGGAAUUGACGGGGGCCCGCACAAGCGGUGGAGUAUGUGGUUUAAUUCGAUGCAACGCGAAGAACCUUACCAGGGUUUGACAUCCUGCGAACCUCUUGGAAACGAGAGGGUGCCUUCGGGAACGCAGUGACAGGUGGUGCAUGGCUGUCGUCAGCUCGUGUCGUGAGAUGUUGGGUUAAGUCCCGCAACGAGCGCAACCCACGUCUUUAGUUGCCAGCAUUUAGUUGGGCACUCUAGAGAGACCGCCGGUGAUAAACCGGAGGAAGGUGUGGAUGACGUCAAGUCAUCAUGCCCCUUACAUCCUGGGCUACACACGUACUACAAUGCUACGGACAAAGAGCAGCAAGUUCGCGAGGACAAGCAAAUCUCAUAAACCGUGGCUCAGUUCAGAUCGUAGGCUGCAACUCGCCUACGUGAAGGAGGAAUCGCUAGUAAUCGCAGGUCAGCAUACUGCGGUGAAUACGUUCCCGGGCCUUGUACGCACCGCCCGUCACACCAUGGAAGUUGGCCACGCCCGAAGCCGUUACUCCAACCCUCGGGAGGAGGACGUCGAAGGUGGGGCUGAUGACUGGGGUGAAGUCGUAACAAGGUAACCGUA